UACGUAGGCAGCAAGCGUUGUUCGGAGUUACUGGGCGUAAAGGGUGUGUAGGCGGUUAUUUAAGUUUGGUGUGAAAUCUCCCGGCUCAACCGGGAGGGUGCGCCGAAUACUGAAUGACUUGGAGUGCGGGAGAGGAAAGUGGAAUUCCUGGUGUAGCGGUGAAAUGCGUAGAUAUCAGGAGGAACACCGGUGGUGUAGACGGCUUUCUGGACCGUAACUGACGCUGAGGAGCGAAAGUGUGGGGAGCGAACAGG
rnacentral:rRNA from 1 species